rnacentral:tRNA from 1 species
CCUUGAGUAGCUUAAAACUAAAGCUUUAGCCUCUUGAUCUAAAGAUGGGAAAGAGACCCCCUCAAGGA